GGUGUCAUCAAUUUACCACUAGAUUAGUAUUUUGACAGAAGAAGAGCAAAAAUGCUAAAAGCAUGUCCGUCAGAUUGCCUAAUUAUUGACACAGUAAGGAAACACUGUCCUUCUCAUAGGUAUACUGAAUACACUAGAAGCACACUCUUACCUGCUUCUGAGUUGGUAGCUUACUAUGUAGGCAAAGGAAACACUGGUGUGAAACGGGAGCACGGAAAGAGGUCAGGAGCCACAGUGGAUAAAACGUGCGCAAUGACGCCAUGUCCCAGCGCUGGGGGUGCUGACUGUAAUAAGGCAGGAGAAACUUUAGGAGUCCUGCCUGCCCCCUGGCGUCCGGGCCGCUGGUCCUCAAGGCCGCUUCGGAGUUCAGUGAAGGUCACCGCAGCCUGCACGCCAGGGCCAGUGACUGGGCCUCCACGUGCCACAAGGGCUUUUGGAGGAAUUGCAGCCCUGGGCAGCUGCGCGGCUGCGGCAGCGUGUGGUGACGUCGCAGCCACUGAGGACUGCGCGUGCUCACGUCCUUCCGGCGGGCUGAAGGCAGCAGAGCCCACAGGUGAAGGCCUGCACCGGGCCCCAUCCCCCACAGCCGCUCCACAGAGCCGCAAUGGGCGCUCCCAUAUCCAUGUACCUGGACGUCCUGUUCCCCAGAUGAGAAGAGGUCGUGUUCCGGAAACACCAGACCAUCUCAGAGAGAAGAGGGAGGAACCAGACACGGGUUUCAUCCGCUUCUUGAGAUUUGGUGGGCUGAGUUCCAUCCUACAGCAUGAAAAUAAAGGCCAUACUUUCAGUGUGAAGGAGAAAGCUAGAAGCAGGGUGGAACAAAGACACAGCCUAGCUGCCGUAUCUGCCCUGGACUCUAUGUGAGUUUGAAAUAUCUUCUUUUUUAUGAUUUAAUUUUACUUCUCUUAUUCUAUGCACCUGUUAUAGCUAAAUAUAUUUAUAUUCACAUAAACAUAUAUAUUAUAUAUAUAUAUAUAUAUAUAUAUAUAUAUAUAUAUAUAUAUAUAUA
ensembl:lncRNA